rnacentral:rRNA from 1 species
AUUGAACGCUGGCGGCAGGCCUAACACAUGCAAGUCGAGCGGGGUUUUCGGACCUAGCGGCGGACGGGUGAGUAAUGCGUAGGAAGCUACCCGAUAGAGGGGGAUACCAGUUGGAAACGACUGUUAAUACCGCAUAAUGUCUACGGACCAAAGUGUGGGACCUUCGGGCCACAUGCUAUCGGAUGUGCCUACGUGGGAUUAGCUAGUUGGUGAGGUAAUGGCUCACCAAGGCGACGAUCCCUAGCCGGUUUGAGAGGAUGAUCAGCCACACUGGAACUGAGACACGGUCCAGACUCCGACGGGAGGCAGCAGUGGGGAAUAUUGGACAAGGGGCGCAAGCCUGAUCCAGCCAUGCCGCGUGUGUGAAGAAGGCCUUCGGGUUGUAAAGCACUUUCAGUAAGGAGGAAGCGUUGAGUGUUAAUAGUACUCAGCGUUGACGUUACUCGCAGAAGAAGCACCGGCUAACUCUGUGCCAGCCGCCGCGGUAACAC